ensembl:snoRNA Gm25107 small nucleolar RNA SNORA35
AAGCAUUGUGCAAUGGCCUCUGGUUUUCCUUGUAGCCAGUUAGGUCGGAAAGCAAUGCAAGAGAAAUGUCCUUUUUCCACGAGAAACAAUCCUGCAGUGGGUUGUUCCUAUCGACAGGAGGUCACACAU